rnacentral:rRNA from 1 species
AAUGGCCUAACGGCCGAAGCAACUUGGAGGAAUGUAUAGCGAAAGCUAGUUGCAUUAACUAAGUGUUAAUGCAGCAGCGACUAUGUCGUGUAAAGUUCAGGGUAGAGUUAUGAUUAUGACAUUUUCUAUCUGUGUGUCUCGACCAAACUACGUGCCAGCAGUCGCGGUAAUACGUUGGAGACUAGUGUUAUUCGUCUUUAGUAGGUUUAAAGGGUACCUAGACGGUUGUUUCAGCCCCCAAAGGGUACUGAAAGUACUAGAGUUUUAUGAGAGAGGGGGUGUACUAAUGGUGUAGAGAUGAAAUUCAGUGAUACCAUUAUGAACAGGCAACAGCGAAGGCAACCCUUUAUGUGUAAACUGACGUUGAAGGACGAAGGCUCAGUCAACCAACAGGAUUAGAUACCCUAGCAGUCUGAGCAGACAAUGAUGAAUGUCAUAGACUGGAAUAAUAUAAAUUAUUAUAAUUUACAUAUAUAUAUAAUUAUAUAUGGGAAAACAUUUUUAUGUUUUUUUUAAAUUAAGUCUAUAAAUUAAAGUGUAAGCAUUCCACCUCAAGAGUAACGUGGCAACGCGGAAACUGAAAUCAUUAGACCGUUUCUGAAACCAGUAGUGAAGUAUGUUGUUUAAUUUGAUGAUCCGCGGUAAACCUUACCACAAUUUGUAUGUUUAGCUAUAAAUACAAGAGUUGCACGGCUGUCUUCAGUUAAUGUCGUGAGAUUUUGGUUAGUUCCAUUAAAUUAACGUAAACCCUUACUUUAUUUUAGUAAAUAGAGUAGUUCACCGCUAUAUUGGAAUAUGAUAAUAGGGACUAAGACAAGUCAUCAUGGCCCGAACAUUGUGGGCUAUAGACGUGCCACAUGCGCCUAUACAAAGGGAUGCGAAAUUGUGAAAUUGAGCUAAUCCCUAAAAUAGGAUAGAAAAU